AGAUCACUUUGCCUCCACAACACCUGCAAUUUUUUGGCUACCAAUGAAAAUUCCACCAAAGAAACCUCAUUUUUUCAAACCAAUUCAGCCAGGUUUCAAGAAUGGUCUUAAAAUUCCUAUAGGUUUCUUGAAGUAUCUGAAGGGACACGACCAUUUUAAACAUGCAAUACUGAAAAAGGCUGGUAAGAAAUGGCUUGUGAAGGUGAAUGGCCAUCAAUUCAAAGCGGGUUGGGCUGAAUUUGUACAACAACAUGAUUUGCAGUUGGGAAAUAUAUUGGUGUUUAGACAUGAAGGAAACAUGGAAUUUGAGGUUUCCAUCUUUGAUUCAAGUCAUUAUGACAGAGAAUAUGCUGAGUAUAUGCAAGAAGAAGAAGAAGAAGAAACCAAUAAUGUUCAAGAGACUUCCCAUAAAUUUGCAUUCAAAGAAAAACCAAGCCCCAACAUCAAGUUGUCAAAGAAGGCUUCUUCCCAUGUAGAAGCUGCUACUCAUAACAAGUCUUUUGGUCAUUCUCGGUUUGAAUACACUAUUACAGAAUAUUGCCUUUCGAGUUAUCGCUUGUUCCUUCCUCAACAAUUCACAUAUGCAAAUGGUCUCACCAAUAAGAAGUGUGGUUUGAUUAUAAGAGAUGAAAGUCAAAGGUCAUGGAAUUUAAAGCUAGUUUGUUGGGAAACUCGAGCCUAUAUUGGAGGUGGAUGGCUCAAAUUCAUUGCUGAUAAUUGCUUAAAGGAGGGAGAUCGUAUUAUGUUUGAGGUUGUUACUGAUGGAGAGACACCAAUAUGGAGACGUUACUAAUAGAAAAAGUCCAUUGCAAAAGUUUCAAGACAUUAUGAGAAAGCCCUCAAACACGAGUCUUCUCAAUGCACAAGUAGCUACUUCAAAUACUGGUGAUGAUGAUCAUCCUUAUUUCAUUUCAACUAUUCAACCUUAUUGCUUCAGAAAGAAAAUUUUGUAUCUUCCACUGGAUUUUGCAAAGUCAAAUGGGUUGAUGAAUAGAAAGUGUGAGAUGAUUCUGAAAGAUGAAGCACAGAGAUGUUGGUCAGUGUGGCUUGGGAGACUCGAUUCACAUCAUUUUGGAAUUAUAAGUGGAUGGAAAAAAUUCCGCAAAGCAAAUGGACUCCAAGUAGGAGAUUCUUACAAGUUUGAACUCAUCAAGAAUGGGGAAAUACCUAUAGCACAUUUCCAUUGCAAAUAUUCUAGAAAGGUUGCAAAGAGAGAGGAACGUAGAAGCAAGUUGACUAAAAAGAAAACUGGUUGAUCCAAUGUAUGGUGUAUGACCUCAAAAACUAUGCAUGAUGUUUCUGUAAAUCCCCAUGUAAAGUAAGUAAAUGUCUGAGACUAGGAAGAAAUGACUGACUAGCCGGCUUUUGUCCAAGCCUGAUGACUCAGGAUGGCUUGGUUGUGGUUGUAUAAACUAUGUGGAUCAUUUGCACCAUAUGGCCUUUUCUGGGGCCAUUCUUUAAGUGUUGUCUCCAUUUGUCCAAUGUGCUAAAAUUUGUCUCUA